rnacentral:rRNA from 1 species
GACGAACGCUGGCGGCGUGCCUAAUACAUGCAAGUAGAACGCUGAAGGAGGAGCUUGCUCUUCUGGAUGAGUUGCGAACGGGUGAGUAACGCGUAGGUAACCUGCCUGGUAGCGGGGGAUAACUAUUGGAAACGAUAGCUAAUACCGCAUAACAGUAGAUGUUGCAUGACAUUUGCUUAAAAGGUGCAAUUGCACCACUACCAGAUGGACCUGCGUUGUAUUAGCUAGUUGGUGGGGUAACGGCUCACCAAGGCGACGAUACAUAGCCGACCUGAGAGGGUGAUCGGCCACACUGGGACUGAGACACGGCCCAGACUCCUACGGGAGGCAGCAGUAGGGAAUCUUCGGCAAUGGACGGAAGUCUGACCGAGCAACGCCGCGUGAGUGAAGAAGGUUUUCGGACCGUAAAGCUCUGUUGUAAGAGAAGAACGAGUGUGAGAGUGGAAAGUUCACACUGUGACGGUAUCUUACCAGAAAGGGACGGCUAACUACGUG